rnacentral:rRNA from 1 species
CUAAGUGGGCUUGACUGUGGGGAAAAACUCCACAUUUAAGUGCGCUUGAGCCAAAGGCGUCUUGGGAUGGGUGACCACCUGGGAAGUCUUGGUUACCGUGUGCA